rnacentral:rRNA from 1 species
AAGCAACCUGCCCUUCAGAUGGGGACAACAGCUGGAAACGGCUGCUAAUACCGAAUACGUUCUUUUUGUCGCAUGGCAGAGGGAAGAAAGGGAGGCUCUUCGGAGGCUUUCGCUGAAGGAGGGGCUUGCGUCUGAUUAGCUAGUUGAGGGGUAACGGCCCACCAAGGCGACGAUCAGUAGCCGGUCUGAGAGGAUGAACGGCCACAUUGGGACUGAGACACGGCCCAGACUCCUACGGGAGGCAGCAGUGGGGAAUCUUCCGCAAUGGACGAAAGUCUGACGGAGCAACGCCGCGUGAACGAUGACGGCCUUCGGGUUGUAAAGUUCUGUUAUACGGGACGAAAGGCGUAGCGGUCAAUACCCGUUACGAGUGACGGUACCGUAAGAGAAAGCCACGGCUAACUACGUG